CACUCCUCGCCCUCACCAGAUGCACCGCCCAUGUUUAGACUUUGAGAAAAUGCAACAGAUGAAGACCCGAGCGGUGACGCAGUGGAGGAACGGCGGUGAGCUGUCACUGUCGUUCUGCUAGUUUUCUGCUGCUAUGUGACAACCUCGAUGUUCCCAGUGGCAUGUUUGGGAAAUGAAAUUUGUUUGUGUUCUGUUUUGGGAACAAAAGAUUUUACCACAAAGGCAAGGAUGUGAAUCCUUAUUGCUCGCAGUUUUUUGAAAGGGUGUUGUUUGUGUUCCAAGAUGAGUUAGUGUUGAAUAAAAAAAAAAAUGUUAUUACUUGCAACUUACUACUAGAAUGGGAUGGGAAGUGUUACUAUGGAUAUUAUUUUAGGGUUUUCUGUUAUAUAGUGGAAAAUGUGGAUUGAGAUAUAUUGAUUUUUUUUAUAAAACUUUUUUUUUCUUUUUUUACAUACAUGUAUAUAUAUAUGUCAGGGAUUGAUUCAUGGAUGUACAUCUUUGAUACUGAUUAGUUUUGUUACAAUGUGGAGGUUGAAGCCAGAGAAUAGGUAUCCUGCUAUAACAUCAGCCACAUAAACAUAAAAGUAAUGCUCUUGUUAAAUCAAAUGUGGAGGGAAUGUGGAUUUGUGUGUAACCUUUGCAUUAGAGAUUUUGUCUUUUGUAGCUUAAUAGAACUAAUGAAGUGCAAGUGUAGAAAGAAAGAGAGUGAGAGUAAGAGAGUGUAAAUCUGCCCAAUUUUGUACCUGAUUCCUAAUUUAAAUAUAUGUAAAGAUAAUUAAAGGUUAAUAUAUGUUGAAGACACACUGGUCACCAUCUGAGUCGGAAUUAUUUUGGCUUUUAAAGGUAAUGCCAAGUGGCUGUGUUUUUAAUCAGCACCCAAUUAGAGUACAAUAUUUUUUUUUUCCAAGCUGUCUGAUAUUUUAUAAUGAACUAAAAACUUAUGUCUGUCAGGAACAUACUUAUCUGGAUCAAGAGAUUGAAGUUCUGCUGCCAAGGACAUACUUGAAAUGGUGUAAAUAUGUUAGGGAAAAUACUGUUUUUUGAAGCAACGUAAACGAUGCAGCUUAAUCAAUGUUGCAAAGAAGCAGCGGAGCAGAAUGGGUACAACUCUCAGCACUUUAUAUUUGACACAAUACAUAAAUUGCAGAUUGAUAUUUCCCAGAAUGGAAUGGAUGAAAGCAUUACGAUAUUUUGUUUGGCCAUGGUAUAGACUGCUAAGUUGAUUACUAUUUUUAUACAGUAGAGUGUGUGAAGGGUUACAGCUAGAAGUCUGAUGAAAGGUUAGGAUGAUACUUGGAAAGAAUGUUAUUAAUGAUUGGUCAAAAUGAAUUGAAACAACUUCAUGGAAAUUCCUGUCUCAUCACAAACAUUUAUUGAGAAUUAAAAAAAAAAAAAGUAUAUGCAUUACACAUAAAACCGAGAUAAUAUAAAAAAAAAAACAUUUUACACUAAGUGAUCAGAAAAUGCUGCUUGGCAAAACAAAAAGCACAUUAUUUUCAACUAAUCAUUAUUUAUGACUUUAAUUAUACAUUUACUCACAAAUUAAUUCCAUAAAAUGUACCCAGCUUUCUCUUCUAAUGCAUAAUUCUCUGACCUCAUUGCAAGUUUACAUUGUUUAAAGGCAAUGUUCUCUGAAGUAGAUGAGAGGUGCCAGGACAGAGAAUACUUGUGGGAAUUGUAGUCCUUGUAGUUGAUUGGUUUUUUAAAUUCCUCAAAAUUACCGAUAUUGUGGCUAUUGUGACGAAAAUUUUUUUUGUUUUUAUCGUUCAUUUUUUUUUUUCUCUCUCACUUGAAAUUAUUUGAUGGAUGGUAAGCUGAUUCAAACUUGCUCCAGUUGCUAUGUGUUGAUGUUACUUCUUCGUACAUUUAAAGCUUUCCAUGUUUGAUCUUCAUGUGCGUGUGUUUACCUGAGGCACAUACAAUUGGAUAUUAAUUGUAGUAAAUGUAGGCUUUAUGAAUUUUUCUAAUGAUUUACCCCUUUAAAUGUAGCAGUUUCUCCUUACUAAAGACAAGUAACCUGAGAUAUAUUUGUUAACAUCACUAUUUUUCCACGAUCCCAACUAAAUACAAGUAAAACAUUUGAAAACCCCGAUAAAUUAAUCCCUAGUAUUGCAUUUUUGGAAAUAUACCUGAAAUUUAGAUAGGAGGUACAAAUAUUAUAUGCACCGGUAAGAAUGAUAUUAAAGGCUUUUUAUUUUAUUUUCUGGAUUUUGAAUUUUAUAGACUGUAUUGCAUGUCUGUGUGUGCAAAAAAAAAAAAAAAAAAAAAAAACGAGAAAAAAAAUACAAAAUUAUAUAUGAUAUCAGUAGAGUAGGACCUAAACGGAAUGCUAGAUUGAAAGCCAAGCUGGUAUCCAUGAUAUCCGAUGAAGCAUGAUCUAGGCAAGGUGUAUCUCAAUUUUUUGACUAUAGCCGUCCUCUGGUACAAGUUCAAAAGAAGAUUGUUUUUAAUCUUCCUCAGGCAAAGGUAGAAUGACAUCCAGUGUCUUUUAUCAGUCAGUUUAGAUGAUUUUAUGCGGAAGGAAGAUAAGUGGAAAGAUUAUCAUCAGAAUUUUUUUUUUUCUGGCUAUGUCUACAAAAAUGUGUUUACUUCCAGACAAGAUUAGAAAAAAAAGUUUUUUUUUUUUUAGAAAUGAGCCCAGAAUAGAAGCUCACAAAUUUCAAAUAUUAGAGAUUUUAAAGAUUGCUACACGUUCAAAAAAUGGAUUUUGUUAAAAAUGAUAAACACAGUAAAAUACAACAGACGAAACAUUUUGUCAUCAGUUCCCAAUUUUUGUUGGUGAACAGUAAUAGAAACUUCUUUCUUUAUAGGAUCUGUAACAUUAGAUAUUAUUGAGAUGCUAGGUAGCACAUAGAUCAUUUUGCAUUUGGGACCAUGAUUUGACAGUAUAGAUUCCCCUCCCCCAGUUUUUAUUUUGGAAAAUGGCUGUCAUAUGAGUACGACUUGAGUUUUUAUUUAUUUAUUUUUUCGAUGUUCGGAAAAAUUAUUUGGUGAUCAUGUAUUAAAGGACUUGCCUGUAUGGUUAUCUGCAUUAGGCAUAUAAAUAUUUGCUUUUGUAGUUGCUGUUCAAGGUAGCGUUCAUAUUUGUCUUUCUGAAGUUGAAUCAGUAUAAAUUAUACACUAAAAGAAUGGAAAAGAAGUGUAUUUUAUUAAUGGAAAUCAUUAAAUAGUGAAAGGAAACAACAAAAUUAGAUAGGAGAACUUUAUGAAAUCAAAAAAAAGGAAGAAGUAUAUUUGCAUAUUGUUAUGUGUUUAUUACUGUAACUGAUGAGCUUUUAAAUUAUGUAUCACGAAUUAGAAUGUCAUAUUUUUUGUUCUUCUAUAUUAGCAGGAGCUGAUAGUAUGAAGGUUUGCCAUCCAACCCUUUUUUCGUACAAGAAAUUGCUAUUGUAUAUGUAUGAUCUAAAUUCAACUUUGCAUUUUCCUUUUGAUUAUGGUUUUCAUCCUUCUUUAUCAGGCCAAUGAAAUAUUUAGCUACAAAAAUUAUAUUUGUUCUUAUAUUGAUUUAGUUGAAAAGAAAAAAAAAAAAAGGAAAUUCUUAGAACUGUUAUUUUUAUCCAAAUAUCUCUUAUGUAAUUUGUUUUAAUGACAGAAUUUUAUGAUUGGUCAAGUCCCCAGUACUUAAAUGGAAACUAUUUUUAUCCUGCUUGUUGUGCAGUAUUGCUUUCUGCUUUCCCGCCUCCCUUGAGUAUGUCAAUCUGUAACUGCCAUUAUUGAAAACGAAAAAAAAUUACAUUAGCCACAAGUAAUCAGCACAGUUGUCCGUCAUAUUUGCAAAGGCUUCAUAUCAGUGAGGAUAUGAUAUUUAAAGGAGUACCACUAUCAACUAGAGAGCAUUAUUUUUUGCUGAACAGUUUUUUCCAUGAAUAUCAGGGAAAAUCAGUUUUGUUUUUGAAACUUUUCAUGGACCAAGAAAUCAGACCCCAUUGCAGUAUUUUCCGUAAACUUUGCACUGGCAGCAACUAGUCUCCCAUCCUGUGUAAUCCAUGAAUGUUUAGACAGUUUGUGUGUACCUGGGUAGAACAUAUUUAACCAAGGAAAUUUUGUUCUGUAUAACAUAUGAUUGCUUCUUUUAGCUUUAUGUUAAGUUUUACUGGACAAAGCAGUUUCGGGUUAUUUUUACUCCAUAAUCCUAUCUGUGAAGUGAACCUUUUGCAUGGCAUUAGAGAAUUCCCAUAAUUAGUGAUAUUUUUUGGGACGGCACAAAUUGUAAUGGAAUAUAUCUCUCUGAUGUAACACUGGAAUUCUCUGGCAUGGAAAUGAACAUAUUUUUUGUGAUUAUGGCUAAUUCACACCCCAUAUUUUAAUAUAAGCAGCACUUUUUUUAUUUGAUGAGAAACUUGAUGAGUGUUUUAUAAAUCCAAAUUUGGAUGCAUGAUCUUAAAGAAGUGUGGUAACUCAGUGUAAGGACUGCAGCCCCUACCCUUAGAGAUAUGACCCUUUUCCUAGAACUUUGGACCUUAUGCCCUUACUCCAUAAAGACCUUUUUUUGGCACCCAGGAGAAGAAGGCAUUGUUGUGGCAGAAAUGGAAAGGGGUGGCCAGUGAUCAGUGAAGUUUGUACAAGAUAGAAAAUAAAAUAUAACCAAAACGAAAAUUUGUAAAAGAUCAAGGACUGAAAGUUGAUUUUGACCAAAGCACAAGUCUUACCCUAAAGGAAAACAAGAAAUUAAGAGUGUUUGACACGUGUCAGCACGCAAGUCCGGUGAGUGAAGUGAUGGACCCUAGAGAAAAGAGGGGGCCAAAGAAAAGAAAUACAUUAGAUAAGAACCUCAAUUGAAAACUGAUAAUAAAUGAAAAGAAAAUAUUUAAAGGAAAAAGAUUAGAAAAUAAAAGAA